AGAUCUUCUUGAUCACGGCCCUCAGUUCCUCGUUCGCCUGGUCCAGGUUGCCUGGUAAACAAAUGCACUUAGCGGAUCCCCAAGAUUGGCUGGCACCACCCUAAAGCUUGCGGCAGCUGCAGUUACAAGGGCGCCACCCUGUGGUCGAGCGUGGAGCGACGCCACCAUGUCAAACACUGCUUGUUUUUCGUGUCUGACCUUUGAGAACCGUGGCGAGAGUGGGCGGUGCGUACGAGGGCAAAGAGCGUGGCGUUGAACAUGACCGUCCCGUCGCUGUUCAAUGGCAUGUUCAUAGCAACCAGUCUCUAUGGAGGAGAGGGAGGGGGGUGAUUACAUUCCACGCAUGUACAAGGACUGAAUUACUCCUCCACUAUAUUUGGCGAUGGGGACUAUUCAUCGUGUGUUUUCAUUGACAGUAAAUGCAAAGUGCCCAGAGUGGAGAAGCUGUAUGUUACUACGGCCACCCUGUGAGGACAGAGCUUGCCGAAGCCCAGAGGAGGCUGGAUUCUCCUCAGCAGAGUCACCACGUCUAGGUGUUUGAUCCUGCCCCUGAAUCACACACACACACACACUGAAACCUGCACAAACACACUGAUCUUUACGUGUGUGUGUGUGUGUGGA